rnacentral:rRNA from 1 species
AGAGUUUGAUCCUGGCUCAGGAUGAACGCUGGCGGUCUGCUUAACACAUGCAAGUCGAACGGGACUCUUCGGAGUUCAGUGGCGGACGGGUGAGUAACGCGUGAGAAUCUGCCUUCAGGUCUGGGACAACCACUGGAAACGGUGGCUAAUACCGGAUGUGCCAAUACGUAAAAGAUUUAUCGCCUGAAGAUGAGCUCGCGUCUGAUUAGCUAGUUGGUAGGGUAAAAGCCUACCAAGGCGACGAUCAGUAGCUGGUCUGAGAGGAUGAUCAGCCACACUGGAACUGAGACACGGUCCAGACUCCUACGGGAGGCAGCAGUGGGGAAUUUUCCGCAAUGGGCGAAAGCCUGACGGAGCAAGACCGCGUGAGGGAGGAAGGCUCUUGGGUUGUAAACCUCUUUUGUCAGGGAAGAACACAAUGACGGUACCUGACGAAUCAGCCUCGGCUAACUCCGUGCCAGCAGCCGCGGUAAUAC